rnacentral:rRNA from 1 species
GCUGGGUGGAUUAGUGGCGAACGGGUGAGUAACACGUGAGUAACCUGCCCCUGACUCUGGGAUAAGCGUUGGAAACGACGUCUAAUACUGGAUACGACUGCCGGCCGCAUGGUCUGGUGGUGGAAAGAUUUUUUGGUUGGGGAUGGACUCGCGGCCUAUCAGCUUGUUGGUGAGGUAAUGGCUCACCAAGGCGACGACGGGUAGCCGGCCUGAGAGGGUGACCGGCCACACUGGGACUGAGACACGGCCCAGACUCCUACGGGAGGCAGCAGUGGGGAAUAUUGCACAAUGGGCGAAAGCCUGAUGCAGCAACGCCGCGUGAGGGAUGACGGCCUUCGGGUUGUAAACCUCUUUUAGUAGGGAAGAAGCGAAAGUGACGGUACCUGCAGAAAAAGCACCGGCUAACUACGUGCCAGCAGCCGCGGUAAUACGUAGGGUGCAAGCGUUGUCCGGAAUUAUUGGGCGUAAAGAGCUCGUAGGCGGUUUGUCGCGUCUGCUGUGAAAUCCCGAGGCUCAACCUCGGGCUUGCAGUGGGUACGGGCAGACUAGAGUGCGGUAGGGGAGAUUGGAAUUCCUGGUGUAGCGGUGGAAUGCGCAGAUAUCAGGAGGAACACCGAUGGCGAAGGCAGAUCUCUGGGCCGUAACUGACGCUGAGGAGCGAAAGCGUGGGGAGCGAACAGGAUUAGAUACCCUGGUAGUCCACGCCGUAAACGUUGGGC